rnacentral:rRNA from 1 species
CUCUUCUUGUUUAUUUAUUUGAAGUAUGACCUGCCCACUGAUUUUAUUGAAGGGCCGCGGUAUUUUGACCGUGCAAAGGUAGCAUAAUCAUUAGUUCUUUAAUUGUGAACUGGUAUGAAUGGUUUGACGAGAUACUAGCUGUCUUUGAUUUGGAAUUUAUUGAACUUGUUGUUUGGGUAAAAAUACCUAAAUUUUUUUAUGGGACGAGAAGACCCUAUAGAGUUUUAUAUAACGUCUUUCUUUUUGGUUUGUUGUAUUUUGUGAAGUGCUUAUAUUUUGUUGGGGUGAUGGGAUGAUAGAUAUAACUCUUCCUUUAUAUUUUUCACUAAUUUGUGUUUUUGUGAUCCUUUAUUAUUGAUUAUAAGAUCAAAUUACCUUAGGGAUACCAGCGUAAA